CGUAGGGUGCGAGCGUUGUCCGGAAUUAUUGGGCGUAAAGAGCUCGUAGGCGGUGUGUCACGUCGAUCGUGAAAACUUUCAGCUUAACUGGGAGCUUGCGGUCGAUACGGGCAUCACUGGAGUUCGGCAGGGGAGACUGGAAUUCAAGGUGUAGCGGUGAAAUGCGCAGAUAUCUUGAGGAACACCGGUGGCGAAGGCGGGUCUCUGGGCCGAUACUGACGCUGAGGAGCGAAAGCGUGGGGAGCGAACAGGAUUAGAUACCCUGGUAGUCCACGCCGUAAACGGUGGGCACUAGGAGUGGGGGCCAUUCCACGGUCUCUGUGCCGCAGCUAACGCAUUAAGUGCCCCGCCUGGGGAGUACGGCCGCAAGGCUA
rnacentral:rRNA from 1 species